AUGCUCCUGCGCGCCAACCCGGCGGCGAUCCCGAUCCCCUCCUUCCCCACCUCGCCGGCGGCCGCCCGCGCCACCAGGUCCUUCCCCGCGGCUCGCUGCUCCGUGGGAAACCUCUCUCCCGUACGUUUCGAGCCACUUCGCGCCGACCCCGACCCCCUCUCCCAAAACGGCGUUGAUGUCCGCGCUGGCGCGGCCACCGCCGACGGCGAUGACCAAGACCAGCAGAAGAACGAAGACGAGGGGGGUGAGGAUGAGGGAAAGGGCAAGGGGAGCAAGCAGGAGGGCGUCUCCGGCAUCAGCGUGCCGCGCCAGCGCUACAUCGCCGUCCCCAAGGCCGCGCUCCUCGACGCCCUCCUCCCGCUCUUCCCCGCCCAAUCACCCGCCGCCGCCGACGAUUUCACGCGCUUCGCAAGGUGUUUGGACGCGGUACUACACGCCGAGCACAAGGAGACGCUCGAGGAGAUGCGCGCAUACUACAUGCUCCGGAGCCAGGAGGAAGAUGAGAACGGCCCGACCUCCACCGGCCCCAUCCGUGAUCAGGCAGCGGUGAACGGACUCUUCGGCAAGUCGGCGGACGACGAAAAUGGAGCGUCGUCGUUUCUGUUGAGAAGCCUGGACUGGAGGACUCUGCUCGGCUUAUCCCCGGAUCCUGUUGCUCCCACCAGGGUUGCUUUCGCGACUCAUUUCCAGCGCGCCUUCAUGAACCUGCUGCGCAACGCGCAGUUCGAGGAGCUCUCCGCGCAGGAUCUGCUCCUCACCUACUCCCUCAACAGCGAUUACCUCCUCACGCUGCCGGUCUACGUCGACUGGAAGAAGGCAGCCGAAUCGAAUGCCAUCAUAUUCCGGCGUGGGUAUGCGACCGAGAGCCAGAGAGGCCUGCUCUUGGUAGAGAAGCUUGAUUACCUGCAGUCAAAGCUGUUGCAGAAUAUUUUCUUCAGCCUUUCCAAACCCUUGGGGAAACUGGGGAAAUGGAUCAAUGAGGCAUUGAAGAGAUCAACAGGGAGCCAGGGAUUUCAGAUCUGGAUUGACAAAUUGAAGCUAUGGCUGAAACAGCAAACUUAUGCAGAGAAUUCACAUAUGCUGAUAGAAAACUAUUCUCAGGACAAUCUUGUAUCAGAUCAAUUACCAGAUGCAGAUCUUCCUAUUUGGAUUGCUGCACAAAGGGCAGUCUCUCGUUAUGAAGGAUUUCUGUCACCUGUAGGUCCUCGUGGCAGACUUUUAAGGAGGCUGCUUACGUGGACAGGACUAAUCCCAUCCCUUCCAGAAGCAACAGCAAAAUCUGAUGUUGAUACAGAACAACUUGAAGGCUAUGUGAGGCCAAAUUUUCUGCCUAGAAUUACGCUUGCAAAUAUAUGGGAGCCAGCAAGCAGAGAAUCUUGUGACAACAAUUUCUGGGAGAUACUGAAAGCUUCUUUUGCUAUUCUAUUUGCCAAGUCUACUCUGCAGGAACCAGCAUUCCAAGAACUGAUCAUACUUUAUUCUGAUGAUGAUGCUCAAAAUGCUGAGAGGGAUAAAUCUGAGAUGCUGCCACCACAGUUGAAAAUUUACGAGAAAAUACCCAUCCCAGAUCUGCCAGUGGUUUUUCCUCACAAGAAGUUGUCCUUCCGCAUCCUUGAUACUGUAAGGCUGGAUAUAGCUACCGUAGUAGGAUUGUUGGCAUAUGUUGUGAACUACAAAUUUGAGAGUUUAGCUUCAUCUCCGUCAGCUUUCCUUCUUGACGUAGCUGCUUUUACUGCACUUGCAAUACUUGUGUUUCGUGUGACGCUAGGCUACAAACAGACCAGGGAUAGAUACCAGCUUCUGGUCAACAAGACACUCUAUGAGAAGACAUUAGCAAGUGGCUUUGGUUCAGUUUACUUUCUUCUAGAUGCUUCCGAGCAACAACAGUAUAAAGAAGCACUAUUGGCGUAUGCUAUGUUACUCUGCAGAAAUAAGUAUCAGGUGUCAUCUCGCACAAGCAUAAGAGAUAGAUGCGAGCAGUUCAUGUAUGAGAAGUUUAAUGCGAAGAUUGAAAUGCCUAUCGACAAAGCUAUGGAUACGCUGUUGCGGUUGGGUCUGGUGAUCGAGCUGCCAAGUAACGGCAGCUCCUCUGUAAUAGCUCUUCCAUGUCCAGAUGCCUAUGACAUCCUGAGAAGUCGUUGGGACAGUCUGCUGGAACAUAGGACAGACCAAGGUAGAAAAUGUUGAUGGUUCCACGUAUAGCUCUUUGGUAGCGUCGAACGCUCUUGGAAGUAGAAGGGCUUGUCUAAAAAUUAUAUAUGUUGUAUGUUUUGCAGGGCGAUGAAACCUCGCCACAGAUCGGGCUUCAUUCCUACAGUUGGAAGCCGGAAUGACAGUUUUUUCUAAAAUAAACCGUAGUUUCUAAGCUACAUAUAUAGUAGUAUGCUACAGUUCUUCUUAAGAAAAUAUCUAAGAUUUAUCACUGGAAGCUUUAGGAUCAUAUAUAUGUAUAUAUAUAUGUUACGGAGUACAUUCUUUUCGUAAGUUUAAGCCUUAUCAUUGCAAUAAGGUGCUGCACAUGACGAUUGCCAGCAACCAAGGGUUGCAAAGCAUAGGAGAAUUAGAACAAUUCAUUAGUUAAGUAUACAGUGAUGACGCUCGUUCUUGUCUUGUGUUCCCAUCAGCCUUUAUAUUAUUGUGUGGACCAUUGUCUAACAGCUUACAACAAUGGCAUCAGGGCAUUAUCAGGCUUUUGUAUUGUGGAGGUCUGUAAUCUGGAGCCUAAAUAAGGUCUUGCGUUUCUGUCA